UACGUAGGUUGCAAGCGUUACUCGGAAUUACUAGGCGUAAAGCGUAUGUAGGCGGUUAUGUAAGUCUGUGGUGAAAUCUCCCGGCUCAACCGGGAGGGGUCCAUAGAUACUGCAUGGCUUGAGUGUGGGAGAGGGAGACGGAAUUCCUGGUGUAGCGGUGAAAUGCGUAGAUAUCAGGAGGAACACCAAUGGCGAAAGCAGUCUCCUGGCCCAAUACUGACGCUCAGAUACGAAAGCUAGGGGAGCAAAC
rnacentral:rRNA from 1 species